CGGGGAGUAGCGCAGCCUGGUAGCGCAUCUGCUUUGGGAGCAGAGGGUCGCUGGUUCGAAUCCAGUCUCCCCGACCA
rnacentral:tRNA from 13 species